GAAAGAAGAUGGUGAUGGUGUGCAAUGAGCUGGAUGAGCUGGAGAUUUCAGUUUGACAGGCCUGCAGUACUGAACUGACAACAUCUCCUGCCCUCCCCCUGCAGUGAAUCACCACCUCUCAAACACAACAACGGGUGCUGACUCCUCUGCCUGAUUGUUUAGGGAAGAUGCUGUACUUGGAGAGAAAAAACUCGUCUCAACCUGGAGAGGUGCAAAAACCCUUCUGAAGGGAUGAUGAAGAGCAGUGCCUGGGAUCAGUGGCAUAGGGCACUGUCACAAACAAGUCAGUUGCCUUCAAAAUGUUGUAAAAAAUAACCCCAAAUUGA